UGCAUACAAACAGCGUAUAAAAUGUUCCUCUCGACGAGCUCUACAUUUUAUAUGAUAAGUCCAAAAAUGUCCGACUGUCUGUUCAAAAGUUACAACGGGAUGAUUCUUAAAAGUAUAGUAUUUUGUGUAUAUCUUUUUAAAGGUAACAGAUAUCAACCUACUAUAAACUGCAAAGAUGAUCAGUAAUUCAAGACCUUCAAUUUGAGGUCAAUGUCAGGUCAUGAUGAAAUUUCACCUUGACCUUCACAUUAUACUAUGACCUUGACCUUGUGAUAUUUGAAAGGUCAAGUGGUCCUGAGUUGAAUGGUGAUAGUCCCAUGUCUCUACGACUUCCGGUUCUCAAGUUUGGUAUUGCAUCAUAUAUUUGAUGAUUAAUUGUGACCUUGGUGAACUUUGAAAUUGUCCCAAUUCUUUUACUAUAAUGUUGUCCUUUAUCUGCAGAUCAUUUACCAUUUAACAGAUUUGAGAUAUCUAUUGUCGUUUUAGAGAUAAUGCAGUUUGAAAUUUUGCGAGCCGCGGCAUGUAUUUCUGAAUCAACAACAUCUUACCACUUAAAAUGUUUAAGAAAUUGAAGAGGUUAACAUAGUUAUAUGUUUGACCAAAUACCAAAAACAUUCCAUGGAAAAAAAGACCAAAAAAAUCAUUUUGAAAUUUUCAUGUUUUGCAUUGACUUUGUAGGUUUCAUAACUUCUAUUUAUAUCGUUCAUAUUGCAUCAUUUUUGGCACUUUGUCAAAUUGGGUCAUCUGAUAUAUCAAAUUGAAGGUCUCAAUAAACUCUACUUAAAAAUGAAAAAUUUAAACCUCUUUUUCAUCCCAGGUGGAAGGGUGGGGUCAUUUAGUGCAAAAAUUCAAAUUUCUCAGAUGGUAAGGUUGUCGCAUAUCAAAUGAAAGAACAUAAAGCGUACAUUUCAAAUUUCAAAUUGACGUCCCCCAAAAAUGGGUUGAAUGGGGUCAUUGAGUGCAAAAAAUAAAUUUUCUUUUACGAUAGGGUUGUUGUAUAUCAAAUGAAAGGUCAUGAUGUGUACAUUUGAAAUAUCAAAUUCCCGACCUCCAAAAAUUAGUUGGAUGGGGUUAUUAAGUGCAAAAAUCAAACUUUCUAGAACAUGGCGUUGUUGCAUAUCAAAUGAAAGCUCAUCUACCCUGUGUUGCAUAUAUCAUACUUCCGAUCUCAAAAAUGUAGGCGGAUGAGGUCAUUAAGUGUAAAAAGCGAAAAGUUUCAGAAGGUAUGCUUGUCGUAUAUCAAACGAAAGGUCAUACAAAGUACAUUACGAAAACAUCACUUUUACAGGAAAGACCUUUCAAUUGUUUUACAAACAAUUGAGAUACUAGUUCUCCUGUUUUUUUUUUUUUUUUUUCAUCCAGCAUUUGUUUGACAUGUCGUCCCCUCGUUUCUAUUGGAGUUAUCAAGACCAAAUAUGGACCAUCGGUAGACCUCAUCAUGAAGUAUUACCAGAUGAGGCGGUGUAGGAUUUCAUCAUCCCCUUUAGAAGUUAUCUCCCUUUUAUUGGUUUUUUUCGACAUGGCCCCCCCUCGUUGUUUUAAAAGAUAUCAUGACCUUAUUUGGACAAAAGUUAGAUCUCAUCAUGAUGUGUUGCCAUAUGAGGCUGCUAAGGAUUUCACCAUUCUCUAUGAGAGUUACGUCCCCUUGAAGCAAUUUCUUUCUUUUACAUUUUUCUCAAAAAGUAUUCAAGAUAGAAUCGAUUUGAAAACGGCAACAUGUACAACACCAGAUGGCAAUGAUAAUAAACAUAUACAAUCAUUUUGUUGUUAACCCUUAUAAGGAGUUAUUUCCCUUGAAAAAAUAUACACAAUUUUUGAAAAAUUGUAUCUCGAGAACCGGAAGUCGUAAAGACUUGGGACCUACACCAAUAAUCUUAAGUUCAUGUGACCUUUAAUUUGCACCCAAGGUCAAAGGUCACCGAGUGCAAAAAAAAUUUACGCUGCAAUUUCAAGCUUUCAUAUUAAGAAAACGAUAAGAGUUUGCUGCAUACUUACAGCGUAUAAAAUGUUCCUCUUGACGAGCUCUACAUUUUAUACAUUAAGCUCAAAAAUGUCCGACUGUCUGUUCAAAAGUUACGACGGGAUGAUUCUUAAAAGUAUAGUAUGGUGUGUAUAUCUUUUUAAAGGUAACAGAUAUCAACCUACUAUAAACUGCAAAGAUGAUCAGUAGUUCAAGACCUUCAAUUUGAGGUCAAUGUCAGGUCAUGAUGAAAUUUCACCUUGACCUUCACAUUAUACUAUGACCUUGACCUUGCG
rnacentral:lncRNA from 1 species